rnacentral:rRNA from 1 species
GAUCCUGGCUUAGGAUGAACGCUAGCCACAGGCUUAACACAUGCAAGUCGAGGGGCAGCAUUGGGAUAGCUGCUAUUCAGAUGGCGACCGGCGCACGGGUGAGUAACGCGUAUCCAACCUUCCUGCCAGUAGGGAACAGCCCGGCGAAAGUCGGAUUAAUGCCCUAUGUUCUUCAAUGCGGACAUCUAAGUUGAAGGAAAGAUUCAUCGCUGGCAGAUGGGGAUGCGUCCGAUUAGCUUGCCGGCGGGGUAACGGCCCACCGGGGCGACGAUCGGUAGGGGUUCUGAGAGGAAGGUCCCCCACACUGGUACUGAGGCACGGACCAGACUCCUACGGGAGGCAGCAGUGAGGAAUAUUGGUCAAUGGGCGUAAGCCUGAACCAGCCAAGUAGCGUGCAAGGAUGACGGCCCUACGGGUUGUAAACUGCUUUUAUGCGGGGAUAAAGUGCGGCACGUGUGCCGCUUUGCAGGUACCGCAUGAAUAAGGACCGGCUAAUUCCGUGCCAGCCGCUGC